rnacentral:rRNA from 1 species
GAUGAACGCUGGCGGCGUGCCUAAUACAUGCAAGUCGAGCGAACAGAUGAGGAUCUUGCUCCUCUGACGUUAGCGGCGGACGGGUGAGUAACACGUGGAUAACCUACCUAUAAGACUGGGAUAACUUCGGGAAACCGGAGCUAAUACCGGAUAAUAUAUUGAACCGCAUGGUUCAAUAGUGAAAGACGGUUUUGCUGUCACUUAUAGAUGGAUCCGCGCCGCAUUAGCUAGUUGGUAAGGUAACGGGUUACCAAGGCAACGAUGCGUAGCCGACCUGAGAGGGUGAUCGGCCACACUGGAACGGAGACAGGGUCCAGACUCCUACGGGAGGCAGCAGUAGGGAAUCUUCCGCAAUGGGCGAAAGCCUGACGGAGCAACGCCGCGUGAGUGAUGAAGGUCUUCGGAUCGUAAAACUCUGUUAUUAGGGAAGAACAAAUGUGUAAGUAACUAUGCACGUCUUGACGGUACCUAAUCAGAAAGCCACGGCUAACUACGUG